ACUUUGAGAUUCGUGCGACAGAUAUUCACCCUCCCCUGCGCCGCCUCCUCUGCCUACCCGCCGCCACCGCCCCUCCCCUGCGCCGCCGCUCCGCCUCCGCCUGCUCCCCUGUGCCGCGCGCCGCCGCCUGCCCCUGCUCCCCUGCGCCGCCGCGCCGCACGCCUCCGCCCUGCUCCCCUGCGCUGCCGCCUCCGCCUCCGCCUCCGCCCUGCUCCAUCGCGCCGCACGCGCGCUGCCACCCCCGCGCGCGGGCUCGCUGGCGGCCGCCGGAGCCGGAGGAGGAGCCAAGACGAGGGUAGAGAAAAAAGAUAGGAGCCCCCAAGUCGGCCACACUCUCCGACGCCCGGGCCCGACUCCCACUCCCUCUACUUCCUCGUUUCGAAGUCCGAACCCUAGGUGGCCGCCGGCGGCAAGCACGGCGGCGGAGCUUGCGGGGUAGCAGAGGGCGGCCCAGCGGCGCUCCACGGGGACAGCGUGUGCGCCCGCAGCUACGCAGGGCAGGGUUGCCGCGGUCUCCCCAGCGGCCGGCGGCGGCCGAACGCCAGCGCCGGAGGGGCUCCGCCGCCGGCGGGCAUUGCGGCCUACGGCAUCGACUCCAUCCCUCUCCCCUCUGCGCAUUCGCCCGUUCUCCCUUCUCUUCUCCGCCAUAACCACAGGCGCACUGCGAGUUAGCAACUGAGUUACUGAGGCGCCCCUGAAGCCGAAACUCCUGCCGGCCCCUUCCCACAGGAGCCCCUGAAGCCUGCGCUCUCCCUUGCCGGCUUCCACAACCUCCGUUCAGCAGCCCUACAACAACUGCCUCCCUUUUCAUCGCUGUCGAGGUGAGGUGCCUCACUCCCAGUCGACGCGCAAGGUACUGCAAUGAAGGUUAAGAUUCUUCAGUGGCAUGCGGUAGCUUCUUGGACGUGGGAUGCACAAGAUGAAACAUGUGGCAUAUGCAGGAUGGCAUUUGACGGCUGCUGCCCUGACUGUAAGUUCCCUGGUGAUGAUUGCCCGCUGAUCUGGGGCGCCUGCAACCAUGCUUAUCAUCUUCACUGCAUACUGAAGUGGGUCAAUUCUCAAACAUCUACACCCCUUUGCCCCAUGUGCCGUAGAGAGUGGCAGUUUAAGGGCUAAGGCACAAUGACACAUCUGGAGCUGUAUUAUCACCAUGUGGCUUUCGUUUCUCAUUGGACAUUGCUGUAUUGUUUGCUGAAAAAGUAGAAAUCCUGAUUGUCAGCACCUGCUUAAGUGACACUGUGUAUGCUAUGCUUCUGACUUUGUAUUGAAGCAACUGAACCACAACUAGGCACCUGCUUAAGUGACAGUGUAAUAGUAUAUGAUCCCUGACUUUAUCGUAAAUUUGUCUGUUCUUAUUGUUUGACUUCUGAAGGAUUCCAAGUGUCAGCCAUAGCUAUGCA